GGGCCCGUAGUUCAUCUGGUAGAACACCGCGUUCGCAAUGCGGAGGUGAGCGGUUCGAGUCCGCUCGGGUCCACCA
rnacentral:tRNA from 1 species